rnacentral:tRNA from 2 species
GGGGAUGUAGCUUAGUUGGGAGAGCGCCGCCUUUGCAAGGCGGAGGUCGUGGGUUCGAGUCCCAUCAUCUCCA